AGCGAACGCUGGCGGCAGGCCUAACACAUGCAAGUCGAACGAAGUCUUCGGACUUAGUGGCGGACGGGUGAGUAACACGUGGGAACGUGCCUUUAGGUUCGGAAUAACUCAGGGAAACUUGUGCUAAUACCGAAUGUGCCCUUCGGGGGAAAGAUUUAUCGCCUUUAGAGCGGCCCGCGUCUGAUUAGCUAGUUGGUGAGGUAAAGGCUCACCAAGGCGACGAUCAGUAGCUGGUCUGAGAAGAUGAUCAGCCACAUUGGCACUGAGACACGGACCAAACUCCUACGGGAGGCAGCAGUGGGGAAUCUUGCGCAAUGGGCGAAAGCCUGACGCAGCCAUGCCGCGUGAAUGAUGAAGGUCUUAGGAUUGUAAAAUUCUUUCACCGGGGACGAUAAUGACGGUACCCGGAGAAGAAGCCCCGGCUAACUUCGUGCCAGCCGCCGCAGUAAAAC
rnacentral:rRNA from 1 species